UUGAUCCUGCCGGACCCGACUGCUAUCAGAGUAGGACUAAGCCAUGCGAGUCAACGCCGCAAGGCGUGGCAUACGGCUCAGUAACACGUAGUCAACAUGCCCAAAGGACGUGGAUAACCUCGGGAAACUGAGGAUAAACCGCGAUAGGCCAAGGUUUCUGGAAUGAUCCCUGGCCGAAAUCUAUAUGGCCUUUGGAUUGGACUGCGGCCGAUCAGGCUGUUGGUGAGGUAAUGGCCCACCAAACCUGUAACCGGUACGGGCUUUGAGAGAAGGAGCCCGGAGAUGGGCACUGAGACAAGGGCCCAGGCCCUAUGGGGCGCAGCAGGCGCGAAACCUCUGCAAUAGGCGAAAGCCUGACAGGGUUACUCUGAGUGAUGCCCGCUAAGGGUAUCUUUUGGCACCUCUAAAAAUGGUGCAGAAUAAGGGGUGGGCAAGUCUGGUGUCAGCCGCCGCGGUAAUACCAGCACCCCGAGUUGUCGGGACGAUUAUUGGGCCUAGAGCAUCCGUAGCCUGUUCUGCAAGUCCUCCGUUAAAUCCACCUGCUCAACGGAUGGGCCGCGGAGGAUACCGCAGAGCUAGGAGGCGGGAGAGGCAAACGGUACUCAGUGGGUAGGGGUAAAAUCCAUUGAUCUACUGAAGACCACCAGUGGCGAAGGCGGUUUGCCAGAACGCGCUCGACGGUGAGGGAUGAAAGCUGGGGGAGCAAACCGGAUUAGAUACC
rnacentral:rRNA from 1 species